AAGUCGACCGCCUGGGGAGUACGGCCGCAAGGUUAAAACUCAAAUGAAUUGACGGGGGCCCGCACAAGCGGUGGAGCAUGUGGUUUAAUUCGAUGCAACGCGAAGAACCUUACCUACUCUUGACAUCCAGAGAACUUAGCAGAGAUGCUUUGGUGCCUUCGGGAACUCUGAGACAGGUGCUGCAUGGCUGUCGUCAGCUCGUGUUGUGAAAUGUUGGGUUAAGUCCCGCAACGAGCGCAACCCUUAUCCUUUGUUGCCAGCGAUUCGGUCGGGAACUCAAAGGAGACUGCCAGUGAUAAACUGGAGGAAGGUGGGGAUGACGUCAAGUCAUCAUGGCCCUUACGAGUAGGGCUACACACGUGCUACAAUGGCAUAUACAAAGAGAAGCGACCUCGCGAGAGCAAGCGGACCUCAUAAAGUAUGUCGUAGUCCGGAUUGGAGUCUGCAACUCGACUCCAUGAAGUCGGAAUCGCUAGUAAUCGUAGAUCAGAAUGCUACGGUGAAUACGUUCCCGGGCCUUGUACACACCGCCCGUCACACCAUGGGAGUGGGUUGCAAAAGAAGUAGGUAGCUUAACCUUCGGGAGGGCGCUUACCACUUUGUGAUUCAUGACUGGGGUGAAGUC
rnacentral:rRNA from 1 species